UGGAUUAUGUGGCAGUCAAAAGAGGCCUAGAUCAGAAAAGGGAAUGUCUGUGCUAAAUACAUGUCUGGAGUCAGUAGAUGCAAGUCAGUAUGCAAAUGCGUAGUUUAGGGUGUUUUCAUACCUAGCCCUAUCUUGAAGACUCUGGCCCCUUCUACACUGUGGAUAAUCCACAUUUUCUGCUUUGAACUGGAUUAUAUGAGUCUACGAUUCCAUAUAAUUCAGUUCAAAGCAGAUAAUCUGGAUUUUAUAUGGCAGUUUAAAAGGGACCUCUCAGAACAACUUUGUCCACCUUUAGUUUUCUAUGGGCCCUUCCACACAGUCAUAUAACCCAGAAUAUCAAGGCAAAUAAUCCACAAUAUCUUCUUUGAACUGGAUUAUCCGAGUCUGCACUAUCAUAUAAUCCAGUUCAAUGUGGAUUUUAUACAGCUGUCUGGAAGGGGCCUAUCAGGUUUGUAUCCUUGAAGAAAAAUACCUUCACCAGAUUAAACAUACCAGUACUCUAGUUUGAUUUAGAUUCUAUACAUUAGUUUAGCCAUAAAAUUGAUCAUGAUAUGUAUGUUAUGGUAUACAUAGUUUUAUGUGUAUCCAUGGGAAUUUACUGUUUCUACUUGUGAUUUUCUUAUCACUUUUUUCUGUCUCACCUUGUACAUUUAGAUCAAUAAGCUCCAAGAUAAAAGAAAUAUUAUUCUUCUGAGAAAAAAAAUUAAUUAAUGUCUUCCCCAAACCCUUAUUUCUGCUAUGAAGAGCUCUCUGUCCCAGCAUUAGAAACAAUUCACUAGGUGAAAACGUGGAAGAUCAGAAUCUUCUAUAAUAUCCUGGUUAUCGAAUGCCAGCCUCAUGGAAGCCUAAUUGACAAUGACACUGACUCAUUUAAUGCCAAUUUCAAACUUCCAGAUUUCUGAGAUGUAGUGACUGUAGUCUGCUUCUGAUUGUUACAGAUUUUUGUACAUUGCACAGUGUAAUCUUGUUAAAUUAUUUUACAUCUAGAAUUGGUGUACAAAAACAGCUAUUCUAGCCAAAGGCUUUUAAGCAGGAUCAAGAUCAUUGAUUGAAGAUAUCCUCCUUGUGUAAAAUCUUUACACUCCAAGCAUGUUGCACAAAAUGAUAGAUCGUUAAUUUAAUUGUUUGUUUCAUUAUGUACCACCCGUCAUCUCAGUGAUUCUCAAUCUAUGGGUCCCCAAGUGUUUUGGCCUACAACUCACAGAAAUCCCAGCCAGUUUACCAGCUGUUAGGAUUUCUGGGAGUUGAAGGCCAAAACAUCUGGGGACACACAGGUUGAGAACCAUUGUUUUAUCUGGAGAUCUCAUAUUUUUUAGAACACAAUAUUAUUUAUGUGUUUUCAUUUUAGCUGUGUGAUUCGUCCUAAUGGGAUCAAAAAGGACUGCAGGCCUCUGGCUGAGCAGUAGUACAUCUCCAAAUUCCAGGAUUCCAUAGGAUGUCACAAUGGAAGUGAAAUCAUAGUGUUUCAACUGUGGAGUAGAAAAGGCCUCCAAGAUUACAUGGAAAACAGCUGUGAAACUAAUACAAAGAUUUAGUUUGCACUCAUUUUAAGGACAAGAGUUUCCUCCUUCACUUCUGGAAAAGAGACCUGUUGCAAUGAGGUGGCAUAGAAACCGCUUUGACAUGUCUGCUGAAAGUGCUUUAAGAUUAUUAAUUUUUGUCAGCUGCAAUUACAUUCUCAGAGGGAAGAUCAGCUUGUCGAUGAACAAUAUCAACUGUGCCAAGAAUACCAUCAAAGUCCAUAGUUACCAAGAGGACUUUAUUUCCAGGUCAUCAAUAUAACAUGAUUUAUGAUCAUCUGAUAACACAAUGCUGAACCAACUUUUUACACAGCACACUGGUUAAAAAUGGCCCUCUAGAUACAUGAUUACUGAUUAUGGGCAUUGAUUAAGAAUAUCAUAGCUAUUGACCAUAAAUAAGAAGGCUGUUUUAGUUUGAGUGGGGAUGUAACUCUUUUCUAGUUUCAUUCCUGAAAGGCAGUAAAAAAUAUUUUUAGCAAAUUUCUUUCUGCUGCAUGAAGUUUCAAAUCUGUAUGAACAAUUCUGUUUUCUCAGAAGAAAAUGCUGGGUUUUGUACUAAAAUCCCAUAGCAGAAGUUCUCAAUCACAGCACUUUUGUGCAAGAAAUAAAUGCUUUCUGCACAGAAAAUAUUAUUUCCUGUGCAGAAAGUUUUUUCUACACAGGAAAUGCUGCUUUUCUGAAUUUUUCACAAACUAGGUCUCAUACUGUGAAGAUUUUAAUCAGUCCAAUGUUCCCCCCUUCAGGAUUUCUUGACAUUCAGGAAACACAUUUUACAAUCAUUUUGAAAAAAGUAAAAAAACAAGAUGAGAUGGCAUUCAAUAUAACUUUGUCAUCACAGGCUUUCACUUCUGAUUGUAGUUUAUAGCAAAAGGACAAAAUUGUAUUGGUACAAUUUUUAGGACAAUUGACAUUCUAAAUGUGGAAGCUAUGGAAUAAACAGCAUGUAUUGAAAGAGCAUUUGACAUUCCACAGAAGAACUGUAGCUUUACAAUAUAAUGAUAUGGAUUAUAAAGUGAGACACAAAGUAAUAAGAUAUAAUAGAACAUAAAAGAGAAAAUAUGGGUCUUCUAUAUUGAAUCAAGAAACUGAAAGCAAAAUGAAAGCAAACAUUUGAGUGUAGAAAAUAACAUAGAAAUCAAAUGACAAUCAUAUGAGUGCUAUUUUUAAAAUUAUUGCUUAUCAAUUUCUCACAUGAGUAAUAUAUUUUAUAAGCCUUCUCAGUAAAAAUAGCAUUUUCUGUCCUAUUAUUCUACUUGUGUAUCAGUGAGCAACAAAGAUCCUUGAUAUAAAUCAGCUUUUUAAAAUGUUUAUAUCUUAGUGAGUUCUGUGAUAAAUGUAAUCAUAUUGAAUAUUGUACAUUUUCCCAUUCUUAUUGUGAGCCUUCACAUCAUUUCUGACUUGUGGCCACUCUAAAUAGAACCUGUUAUGGGAUUUUCUUGGCAAAAUUUGUUCAGAGAAUGUUUUCUGCGAAUGACUUGUACAAGAUCAGUCAGUGGGCUUCCAAACUUUCCAUGGCCUAGCACAGAUGAUGCCCAAGCCACUGCAUCAUACUGGCUAUCUUCUUUCUAUUAUAUAUAUAUAUAUA